AGUGAACGCUGGCGGCGUGCUUAAUACAUGCAAGUCGAACGAUGAAGUCCUAGCUUGCUAGGAUGGAUUAGUGGCGCACGGGUGAGUAAUAUAUAGUUAAUCUGCCUUGCACUGAGGAACAACAGUUGGAAACGAUUGCUAAUACCUCAUACUCCAACUUUACAUAAGUUAAGUUGGGAAAGUCUUUUCGGUGCAAGAUGAGACUAUAUCGUAUCAGCUAGUUGGUAAGGUAAUGGCUUACCAAGGCUAUGACGCGUAACUGGUCUGAGAGGAUGAUCAGUCACAUUGGAACUGAGACACGGUCCAAACUCCUACGGGAGGCAGCAGUAAGGAAUAUUGUGCAAUGGGGGAAACCCUGACGCAGCAACGCCGCGUGGAGGAUGACACUUAUCGGAGCGUAAACUCCUUUUGUUAGGGAAGAAUAAUGACGGUACCUAACGAAUAAGCACCGGCUAACUCCGUG
rnacentral:rRNA from 1 species